AUGUUCACUGUUAUAUUCAUGUGUCUGUGGCUUUCACUAGGUGACUCCAUGGCAGAUUCAAUACAGCCACUUUUCACAACUCCUAAAGUUGUAGAUGAAGGUGUUAACGUUACUCUGUCCUGCAGAUACGAAACUACCAGUACUGCAGCAAACACCUACCUGCACUGGUACAGACAAUAUCCAAAAUCUAAACCUGAGUUCCUACUUUACAUCACUGCAAAUGGCCGUAAAAGUGACCCUCUUCCAUCACGUCUGUCUGCUGAAGUUGAUGAUAAAAAUAAACGAGUGGAUCUGCUCAUCUCCUCUGCUGCUGUAUCAGACUCUGUACUAUACUACUGUGCUCUG